GAGGGGCACACGAGGUUUGGAGUGUUAAAUAGGAACGCGAGGGGCACACGAGGUUUGGAGUGUUAAAUAGGAACGCGAGGGGAACACGAGGUUUGGAGUGUUAAAUAGGAACGCGAGGGGCACACGAAGAUUGGAGUGUUUAAUAGGAACGCGAGGGGAACACGAGGAUUGGAGUGUUUAAUAGGAACGCGAGGGGAACACGAGGAUUGGAGUGUUUAAUUGGAACGCGAGGGGCACACGAGGUUUGGAGUGUUUAAUAGGAACGCGAGGGGAACACGAGGAUUGGAGUGUUUAAUAGGAAUGCGAGGGGCACACGAGGAUUGGAGUGUUAAAUAGGAACGCGAGGCGCACACGAGGUUUGGAGUGUUAAAUAGGAACGCGAGGGGAACACGAGGAUUGGAGUGUUUAAUAGGAACGCGAGGGGCACACGAGGUUUGGAGUGUUAAAUAGGAACACGAGGGGCACACGAGGUUUGGAGUGUUUAAUAGGAACGCGAGGGGCACACGAGGUUUGGAGUGUUAAAUAGGAACGCGAGGGGCACACGAGGUUUGGAGUGUUAAAUAGGAACGCGAGGGGCACACGAGGUUUGGAGUGUUAAAUAGGAACGCGAGGGGCACACGAGGUUUGGAGUGUUAAA